UCCAUCUCUGACAUGAUAUUACACAGCAAAUGAAUCCCAUCUUUAGAUUAAGUUGACCAAUAUAUAACUGUUAAUUUAUUUACAGGGAAAUCAUAUCAUUUUUGCUCAGCAUACACUUGAGUGGCAAGCAUUUGUUUAGAGGCGUAUAUAUCUAGGGAGAGUUUUAAAGAAAAAAGAAAAAGAAUGGGUCGGGAACGCUAUUACUUCUGUAGAAGAUAACACUUCUGACACGCUGGGAGCCAGAGAUAGCCAAUACGUGAUGUGGCAGUCUCUACUACUCAAAAUGUUAUUGGUGGAGAUGAAAGAUAUAUAUAUAUAUAUAUAUAACAAUUAUUUAAGAGACUUUUGAAUGUUACGGAUACAUAUAGGAGAACAUCAGCGAUAAUACAAGAGGAUAGCUGAGUUUGGCCAUACCGCUUCAGGCGAAAAAUAAAGUUGCGAAGAAGAAGACGAUGAGGCGUCGACGACAAAGAGAGAUGGCUAUUUUUACUUUAGAGAUCCUAUACGGAAUGGGAAUUAACGUUGCUCCAAAACUAGCUAUAAAUUUAAAGAACCAGCUGCUCCAUCCACGUGGACUUUAUUUGGAGCACAUUCAUGACUCACCAUCACACACCCUCUUACAUACACGAAGCAAUCAAGAGGCCCAGCCACAGUUACCAGAAUACCCUUGUUCUAUCCUAUCACAGCAAGGCAAGUGUACAUGAACCCCAUAAAAUUCAAUUCUUGAUAAGUACCGCACCUGUUAAAUCCGUAGAGAUAUCUAAUGGACAUGCAUUAAUCACCUCACCUCAUUCCUUCCGACCCAUCAAUCUUUGCCGUACACGUGUCCGGGAUUUAACGUGUUUCUCGUUUCUCAUUUUCCCAGUAUUGUGAUGACUGAUGAGGAUGGAGAUGAAUGAUGUGAAUACAUGAUUGACAUUGGCAUGCAUGCACGCGUACUUUUGUUAUUAAUGAAUUGCUUAAUGCCAGUUUUAACCUUGUAUAUGUGCAUGCAAGAGGGUGGCGGAUGUGCCGGCUUGUGAUCAAGUAGCCCAGUUGCAGACAAAAGCCAUGAAGAAGGAUGACGACCUCGCUGCUCCAAGGCUGCCCUGCACGGGAGGGAAGCUAGGUUCUUGGAUUUUUGCGUCCAAAAAGAUGUCUGCAUCUUCCCUUCUAAGAUAGAUUCCUGAUAUUUCGUGUGUUUCCCAUUCCAUUUGUGUAAGUUCUUUGAAUUUAAUUAGCUAUGUUGCUACUGCAAAAGGACAAACUCGUAUAGUAGGUAGCUACAAGCUUACGUGCCUCGUCAAGUGUGCGUGUCGACUUCCUUUAUUCCUUGUCCUUUCUAUAUAUCUCUUUUAUCAUUUAAGCUCA